UCUGUGCACGUACCGGCUCCAGCCACAUCCAGAAUAUACCACUUCUUUUCACAGAAUGGCUUGUUGCUGGGCCUGCCCAACAUUAUGACUUGGUAAUUCUGACAGCUCUCAGCUCAAGGUCUAUAAUUCCAUGCUGCAGAUGGCAGGCCUUCCUCUCUUUGAUAUGUCAAGGACAUCCAGUGGUACUACCAAGUUCUACGGUCGUCAUAAUUUUGAUUUCCUUUGUAUUUCCCAAAUGCCGAAGAUACUGAAUAAGUGAAUGCAUUGCCUUCUACCUGGGUAGUGCCCCAGUUAACCAGAGGUAAAAAAAGAGAGAAUCAAUACAUCUCAAGUGAUAAAAUCCUCCAACAUUCCAAGGGAGAUAACAAACAAACAAAACAGGACAAACAAAUCCGAACAACAUAAAGCAACCGUGAAGCAGAAGAAAACUGCACGGUGACAUUCUAGACUGAACUAAAUAGCCUCGAACAAGCAUUUGGAAAUAUGAAAAAUUGCCUAGAAUCAGAAAUCAACAACAUAAAUGAGUUUGGAAAAAGAACAGGAAGAAAUUAAAAGAGAGUUGCUCAAACGCAAGAAAUAAAGAGACCAAAAGAAAUUCAGACUUGAAGAGAAAAUUUUAAGAGGUUAAGUGUGUUAGUUUCAUAGGGCUGCCUUAACAAAUCACCACAAACCGGAUGGCUGAAAUGGAUUCUCUGGCAGUUCUAAAGGCUGGAAGUCCGCCAGCAAGGAGUCACCAGGGCUGGUUCCUCCUGAGGCUCUCCCCUUGCUUCUGGUGGCUUCCAGCAAUCCUUGGCUCUUUGGUUCUGUACAUGCAUCACUGUAAUCUUUGCCUCUGUCUUCACCUUCCCUUCUUUCCUAUGUCUGCUCCCCUUCUCUUCUAAGGACACUUGCCAUUGGAAUUCGGGCCCACCCAGGUAAUCUGGGACGAUCUCAUGUCAAUAUCCGCACCAUAAUUACAUCUGCCCAAACUCCUUUUCCAAAAAUAGCCACAUUCAAAAUUUUUGAGUGGACCUAACUUUUGGCAGGUGGUCAUUCGACCCACUAUAGCACCCAAGGGAGAACAGGCUCAAAUGUAAAUUCAGGAAGUGGCACUAAAGGCAAAGAAAUUAAAUGAGAUCGAAAAGAAAAAAAUGGUCAGGAUGAAAUGGUUGACACAGAGGACAAACAAAGCAACAUGGGAAAACUUGGAGUCCUUAAAGAAGAAAUAUGAAACAUGGAACAAUUAUUUAAAACUAUAAUUAGUAACUGUAAGAAAUAAAACACCAAUCUACAAACUGAAAGGAUCUACUACAUAGCUGAAAAGAUUAAUCUGAAACAAUCAACUCAGCUAAUAAAGCUAAAAAAUCAGCUAA